GAUGAACGCUGGCGGCGUGCCUAAUACAUGCAAGUCGAGCGAACGGACGAGAAGCUUGCUUCUCUGAUGUUAGCGGCGGACGGGUGAGUAACACGUGGAUAACCUACCUCUAAGACUGGGAUAACUUCGGGAAACCGGAGCUAAUACCGGAUGAUAUUUUGAACCGCUUGGUUCAAAAGUGAAUGACGGUCUCGCUGUCACUUAUAGAUGGAUCCGCGCUGCAUUAGCUAGUUGGUAAGGUAACGGCUUACCAAGGCAACGAUGCAUAGCCGACCUGAGAGGGUGAUCGGCCACACUGGAACUGAGACACGGUCCAGACUCCUACGGGAGGCAGCAGUAGGGAAUCUUCCGCAAUGGGCGAAAGCCUGACGGAGCAACGCCGAGUGAGUGAUGAAGGUCUUCGGAUCGUAAAACUCUGUUAUUAGGGAAGAACAUAUGUGUAAGUAACUGUGCACAUCUUGACGGUACCUAAUCAGAAAGCCACGGCUAACUACGUG
rnacentral:rRNA from 1 species